UACGUAGGUGGCAAGCGUUGUCCGGAAUUAUUGGGCGUAAAGCGCGCGCAGGCGGCCUUUUAAGUCUGAUGUGAAAGCCCACGGCUCAACCGUGGAAGGUCAUUGGAAACUGAAAGGCUUGAGUACAGAAGAGGAAAAGCGGAAUUCCACGUGUAGCGGUGAAAAUGCGUAGAGAUGUGGAGGAACACCAGUGGCGAAGGCGGCUUUCUGGUCUGUAACUGACGCUGAGGCGCGAAAAGCGUGGGGGAGCAAAACAGG
rnacentral:rRNA from 1 species